rnacentral:lncRNA from 1 species
UGGAGGGCUGCCUGUCGCAGCUCAACCUCGAGGUGCUGCACCUCAAUAACGCGCUGGCCAAGCUCAAGGCCAACUUCGCCUAAGGAGCGCUUCUCGUCCACUCGUUCCCCCGCGCUCUCCCAAGUACUUAGCGUCCGCAUCGUCCCCAUCGUCGUACCCAUUGUAUAGUUCCCGCUCGUAGCCCGCUGCAGAUCCAGCCCACGCUAGCGGUGCAGGAGAGACGGCUGCUACCGG